rnacentral:tRNA from 1 species
GCCCGGCUGGCGUAAUCGGAUAACGCACCAGACUUCUAAGUAUCUGGGGAUUGCGGGUUCGAGUCCCGCGUCGGGU